rnacentral:rRNA from 1 species
AUGGACUACAUGAAUGGGCCAGGCCGGAACCACCUGUUCGUCCCUGGGCCGGUGAACAUUCCGGACCAGGUGAUCCGCGCCAUGAGCCGGCAGAACGAGGACUACCGCUCGCCGGCGAUCCCUGCCCUCACCAAGACCCUCCUGGAGGACGUGAAGAAGAUCUUCAAGACCACCACCGGCACCCCCUUCCUCUUCCCCACCACCGGCACCGGCGCCUGGGAGAGCGCGCUCACCAACACGCUCUCCCCGGGGGACCGGAUCGUGUCCUUCUCGCUGGGGCAGUUCAGCCUGCUGUGGAUCGACCAGCAGCAGCGCCUCGGGUUCAGCGUGGACGUGGUGGAGUCCGACUGGGGCUACGGCGCCGACCUCGGCGUCCUCGAGUCCAAGCUCCGCAGUGACUCGCAGCACACCAUCAAGGCCAUCUGCAUCGUCCACAACGAGACCGCCACCGGCGUCACCAACGACCUCCACGCCGUCCGCAAGCUCCUCGAUGCGUACCGGCACCCGGCGCUGCUGCUGGUGGACGGGGUGUCGUCCAUCUGCGCGCUGGACUUCCGCAUGGACGAGUGGGGCGUGGACGUGGCCCUGACGGGGUCGCAGAAGGCGCUGUCGCUGCCGACGGGGCUGGGCAUCGUGUGCGCCAGCCCCAAGGCGCUGGAGGCGGCCAAGACGGCCAAGUCGGUGCGCGUCUUCUUCGACUGGAAGGACUACCUCAAGUUCUACAAGAUGGGCACCUACUGGCCCUACACGCCCUCCAUCCAGCUCCUCUACGGCCUCCGCGCCGGCCUCGACCUCCUCUUCGAGGAGGGCCUCGACAACGUCAUCAAGAGGCACACACGCCUCGGCACCGCAACAAGGCUGGCGGUGGCGGCGUGGGGACUCAAGAACUGCACCGCGAAGGAGGAGAACUUCAGCGACACGGUCACCGCCGUCGUGGUGCCGCCGUACAUCGACAGCUCCGAGAUCGUCAAGCACGCGUGGAAGCGGUACAACCUCAGCCUCGGGCUCGGGCUGAACAAGGUCGCCGGCAAGGUCUUCAGGAUUGGACACCUGGGCCACCUCAACGAGCUGCAACUUCUGGGUUGCCUCAGCGGGGUGGAGAUGGUGCUCAAGGACAUCGGGUACCCGGUGAAGCUCGGCAGCGGCGUGGCGGCCGCCGCGGCGUACCUCUCGAAUUCCACGCCCCUCAUCCCCUCCAGGAUCUGA